UGUUUUUGAGAAGAUGAGCUGCAGAAUGAGAGGCCGCCGGGUGACGAUUCCUGAACCGCGGGGAAGGAAGUCCCUGUGAGGGGGGGAGAGGGACAGAAAUUACUCUUGCGUCCGGAUCGAGGGGCAGGAAGUGUGACCACAUGUGGUGGAGCAACUCUGUCUUGCAAUUUGGGCGACCUCAGCAAAGGCACCAACCCCAGCUGGGCCCUGGGGAAUGCUCUGGUCUUGGAGGGUCCUGAGGCCUGAAGAGCUCAGGAAGCCACAGGCAGCACAGUCAGCUCUCCAGGCCUGGGAUGCUACCUGUCUUCGAGCCACACUCCUGAGGAUGACAAAGAGCCCGAGGGACCUGCCUGCCAGGCACUAGGCCUGUCACGCCACGUGCCCCAGUUCAAGCUGAUGCCUGAGCUCUAAUCCCUUUCCGUCAGCCUCCCAUUCGGCUGAUGAGGAGCCUGAGGCACAAACAGGAUACGAGACUUGGACAACAUCACAGCUCAUGGCUUGCAUGAAAAGGAGCGAACCUUUCUCACUGGCUCCUGAGCACUUGGGGAGGUGCUGGUGACACUGGCGCCAACAUUCUGACGGGGGUGGGUGCGAGGAAGACAUACUGCAGGGGUGAGAGGGGUUGGGGGCUGGGAUAAUUGGAGAGGGUUCUCUGAGCAGGGGGACUGAGGGAACAAGCUACAUCAAUUGGGAGGCGGAGUGAACUGAACGAGGGAAACAGCGAGCGGGCGCCCCCAUGCAGGUGACAGACCCCAAAGUCACCUCUUAGCAUGGCCCCUUGUCUUUCCGUCACAGUAGUCACAGUGGACACCAGGCUGUCCCAGGGUAUUAACCUCAUGAACGCCACAAGUAGCCUUGGCCCUGGCCCUACCAGAGCCCCAGGCCACCUAGCUCACAGGUAGGGACCUGAGGGGCAGGGACACUUGGCAUCUUGCACAUCAGAGACGCAGUGUCUCAGGUCAGGCACAGUGGCUCACGCCUAUAAUCCCAGCACUUUGGGAAGCCAAGGUGGGUGGGUCACCUGAGGUCAGGAGUUUGAGACCAGCCUGGCCAACAUGGUGAAACCCCGCCUUUACUUAAGAUACAAAAAUUAACCGGGUGUGGGGGCGCAAGCAUGUAAUCCCAGCCACUCGGGAGGCUAAGACACGAGAAUGGCUUGAACCCGGGAGGCGGAGAUUGUAGUGAGCCGAGAUCGCAUCACUGCACUCCAGCCUGGGUGACAGAGUGAGACUCCAUCUCAAAACAAAAACAAAAACAAUACAAAAUACAAAAAAAAAAAGACAAAAAAAAACCCUGGCCGGGUGUGGUGGUGGACACCUGUAAUCGCAACCACUUGGGAGGCUGAGGCAGGAGAACCGCUUGAACUUGGAAGGCAGAGGUUGCAGUGAGCUGAGAUCGCGCCACUGCACUCCAGCCUGGGUGACAGAACGACUCUGUCUCAAAAAAAAAAAAAAGACAAAUGCAGCAUCUCAGAAACCAUGCGGCGCUGGCUAGACACUGAAUCACCAGCAGCGGCGGUGACAGCACGUGCCCCUCACAACAGUGCCCCUGCUCCAUCCUUUCAAUGACUAUUUUUGAAGUGUGCAAGUGGAAGAUGUCAACGAUAAAACAACACAGGAGCAGCAUGUGAUGCAAUCACAGACAUCCUGUCUGCUUCGUGUGUCUGACGUUCAUUCCUUUUCGUGGUCGAAUCUGUCCAUUGCACUGAUGGACUACAGUCUGUUCGUCUAGUCACCAUUGGAUGGACAUUUGGGGUCUUCCUAGCUUGAAUUUAUUACAAAUAAAGCUGUUCUGAACAUUCUCA